UUCCGGGCCCUCCCCACCGCGAACGGCGGUUCCAGGCGGGGCUCCCGGGCAGGGACGCGGCGGCGGGGCCGGCAACCGGGCCUAGAGCGCAGAGCCGGGCGGCGCGGCGGCGGCGCCAUGGCGGGCUGCUGCGCGGUGCUGGGGGCCUUCCUGUUCGAGUACGACACGCCGCGCAUAGUGCUCAUCCGCAGCCGUAAAGUGGGGCUCAUGAACCGCACGGUGCAGCUGCUCAUCCUGGCCUACGUCAUCGGGUGGGUGUUUGUGUGGGAAAAGGGUUACCAGGAAACGGACUCUGUGGUCAGCUCAGUUACUGUGAAAGCCAAGGGCGUCACCAUGACCAACACCUCUAAACUUGGAUUCCGGAUUUGGGAUGUAGCUGAUUACGUGAUUCCAGCUCAGGAGGAAAAUUCUGUCUUCAUCAUGACCAACAUGGUGAUCACCAUGAAUCAGACGCAAGGCCUCUGUCCUGAGAUCCCGGGUAAGACCACGGUGUGUGAAACUGAUGCCAGCUGCACUGCCGGCUCUGCAGGCACCCACAGCAGCGGAGUCGCGACAGGGAGGUGCGUGUCGUUCAAUAGGACCUUGAAGACAUGUGAGGUAGCAGCCUGGUGCCCGGUGGAGGACGACACAGAAGUGCCAAAGCCUGCUUUUUUAAAGGCUGCAGAAAACUUCACUCUUUUGGUUAAGAACAACAUCUGGUAUCCCAAAUUUAACUUCAGCAAGAGGAAUAUCCUUCCCAACAUCACCACCGCCUACCUCAAAACGUGCAUUUAUGAUGCGAAAACAGAUCCCUUCUGCCCUAUAUUCCAACUUGGAAAAAUUGUGGAGAGCGCAGGGCACAGCUUCCAGGACAUAGCCAUUGAGGGAGGCAUCAUGGGCAUCCAGAUCAAGUGGAACUGCAACCUGGACAGGGCCGCCUCCUUCUGCCUGCCCAGGUAUUCCUUCCGCCGCCUGGACACCCGCGACGUGGCCCACAACGUAUCCCCAGGCUACAAUUUCAGGUUUGCCAAGUACUACAGCGACCUGAACGGUGCUGAGCGCCGCACGCUCAUCAAAGCCUAUGGCAUCCGCUUUGACAUCAUCGUGUUUGGAAAGGCUGGGAAAUUUGACAUCAUCCCCACCAUGAUCAACAUUGGUUCUGGCUUGGCGCUCUUGGGGGUGAUGGGGGAGCCUUUCCUUUCCUUGGAGGAUCCCAGGUGUCAUGGGAAGGGGCACACACAGAAGAGCAGAGACCACAGCAACUUGGCUCAUUCUUUCUCGCCCUGCGCCACGUUCAGGCGACAGUGCUGUGUGACGUCAUAGUCCUCUACUGCAUGAAGAAGAGAUACUACUAUCGCGAGAAGAAAUAUAAAUACGUGGAAGACUAUGAGCAGGGUCUUGGUAAUCAGAUGGACCAAUGAUGCCCACCCCUCACCUGGGCUCUCCACAGGCCUCAUCAGAGCACAGCGAGGAAGGAGAAAAGGCUGCCACGUCAUCCCAGAGAAAGUUCCAGAUUCUGAGUCAUCUCCAGAAGCACUGCAGGGUUGCCCAGCUGCUCCUGCGUUCUCUGUGUAGGGUUUGUGCAGUAAACCACUCUGCACAGUGGCAGCCAGCUCACCUCUGCCGUGCCUUCAGUUCAGCAUCACUGGGCUGAGCUCCGGCCCAAGGCCAGUGAUGCAGCAAUGGCUGCAUGGGGGCCUUCUCCAAGGCUGGCUUUCCUCAGAAUCUUCCAUCUCUAGCCCCCUGGGAGACCAGGCCGGUCCUCCAAGGCCCGACAGCUCCAUUAAGCACUUUAUGAGGAAGGCAGGACCCCGGGUAUGGUCGUAGCUCUUUAGCACUCUGGGCCACUGUUCCUCUUCCCCGACCGAGGCUUCAACCCCACACUCGUGGGGCGGAGCCAGCGUUUUUCCUUUGUGAAGAGCUACACUAAGAUGACUGAGGACCAAACAUUAAAACAAUUGACUUUCUUAA